CAGCAGCCGCGGGAAUACGUAGGGUGCGAGCGUUAAUCGGAAUUACUGGGCGUAAAGCGUGCGCAGGCGGUUUUGUAAGACAGGCGUGAAAUCCCCGGGCUCAACCUGGGAAUGGCGCUUGUGACUGCAAGGCUAGAGUGCGGCGGGGGGGGAUGGAAUUCCGCGUGUAGCAGUGAAAUGCGUAGAGAUGUGGAGGAACACCGAUGGCGAAGGCAGCCCCCUGGGCCAAUACUGACGCUCAUGCACGAAAGCGUGGGGAGCAAACAGGAUUAGAUACCCCCGUAGUCCCUGUCUCUUAUAA
rnacentral:rRNA from 1 species